rnacentral:rRNA from 1 species
GACGGACCGUGCGAACGUUGUUCGGAAUCACUGGGCUUAAAGGGCGCGUAGGCGGCUCGCGGGGUCGGGGGUGAAAUCCCGCAGCUUAACUGCGGAAGGGCCUCCGAUACCGGCGGGCUGGAGGAAGGUAGGGGUGCGCGGAACUUCUGGUGGAGCGGUGAAAUGCGUUGAUAUCAGAAGGAACGCCGGCGGCGAAAGCGGCGCACUGGACCUUUUCUGACGCUGAGGCGCGAAAGCUAGGGGAGCAAACGGG